GAGCGAGUUGAAGCGAUAAAGCAGGUUGCAAACUGCUCUCUCGCUUUGCUCUUACUUUAUCGCUUAAACUCGCAA
ensembl:ncRNA mir-2490 mir-2490 stem loop